rnacentral:rRNA from 1 species
UUUUUAUGAGAGUUUGAUCCUGGCUCAGGACGAACGCUGGCGGCGUGCCUAAUACAUGCAAGUCGAACGCUUCUUUUUCCACCGGAGCUUGCUCCACCGGAAAAAGAGGAGUGGCGAACGGGUGAGUAACACGUGGGUAACCUGCCCAUCAGAAGGGGAUAACACUUGGAAACAGGUGCUAAUACCGUAUAACAAUCGAAACCGCAUGGUUUUGAUUUGAAAGGCGCUUUCGGGUGUCGCUGAUGGAUGGACCCGCGGUGCAUUAGCUAGUUGGUGAGGUAACGGCUCACCAAGGCCACGAUGCAUAGCCGACCUGAGAGGGUGAUCGGCCACAUUGGGACUGAGACACGGCCCAAACUCCUACGGGAGGCAGCAGUAGGGAAUCUUCGGCAAUGGACGAAAGUCUGACCGAGCAACGCCGCGUGAGUGAAGAAGGUUUUCGGAUCGUAAAACUCUGUUGUUAGAGAAGAACAAGGAUGAGAGUAACUGUUCAUCCCUUGACGGUAUCUAACCAGAAAGCCACGGCUAACUACGUGCCAGCAGCCGCGGUAAUACGUAGGUGGCAAGCGUUGUCCGGAUUUAUUGGGCGUAAAGCGAGCGCAGGCGGUUUCUUAAGUCUGAUGUGAAAGCCCCCGGCUCAACCGGGGAGGGUCAUUGGAAACUGGGAGACUUGAGUGCAGAAGAGGAGAGUGGAAUUCCAUGUGUAGCGGUGAAAUGCGUAGAUAUAUGGAGGAACACCAGUGGCGAAGGCGGCUCUCUGGUCUGUAACUGACGCUGAGGCUCGAAAGCGUGGGGAGCAAACAGGAUUAGAUACCCUGGUAGUCCACGCCGUAAACGAUGAGUGCUAAGUGUUGGAGGGUUUCCGCCCUUCAGUGCUGCAGCUAACGCAUUAAGCACUCCGCCUGGGGAGUACGACCGCAAGGUUGAAACUCAAAGGAAUUGACGGGGGCCCGCACAAGCGGUGGAGCAUGUGGUUUAAUUCGAAGCAACGCGAAGAACCUUACCAGGUCUUGACAUCCUUUGACCACUCUAGAGAUAGAGCUUCCCCUUCGGGGGCAAAGUGACAGGUGGUGCAUGGUUGUCGUCAGCUCGUGUCGUGAGAUGUUGGGUUAAGUCCCGCAACGAGCGCAACCCUUAUUGUUAGUUGCCAUCAUUCAGUUGGGCACUCUAGCAAGACUGCCGGUGACAAACCGGAGGAAGGUGGGGAUGACGUCAAAUCAUCAUGCCCCUUAUGACCUGGGCUACACACGUGCUACAAUGGGAAGUACAACGAGUCGCGAAGUCGCGAGGCUAAGCUAAUCUCUUAAAGCUUCUCUCAGUUCGGAUUGCAGGCUGCAACUCGCCUGCAUGAAGCCGGAAUCGCUAGUAAUCGCGGAUCAGCACGCCGCGGUGAAUACGUUCCCGGGCCUUGUACACACCGCCCGUCACACCACGAGAGUUUGUAACACCCGAAGUCGGUGAGGUAACCNUUUUGGAGCCAGCCGCCUAAGGUGGGAUAGAUGAUUGGGGUGAAGUCGUAACAAGGUAGCCGUAUCGGAAGGUGCGGCUGGAUCACCUCCUUUCUAAGGAA